ACCAGGAGAAGACAAGUGGAGGAUAUUGUGCCAUUUCAAGCUGAAUUAUCUCCCCUAGCGGGGGAUAUUGUGUCAUCUCAGGAUGAAUUGUCUCCCCUAGUGGAAUCACCAUUUACUGUUGCAUCAGGAUCUAUUUAUUCUCCAUCAUCAGAAUCCUCAUGCGAUGAUUCUUCUUCUCCCCCGGUCAGAGUGACAAGAGGAAUGGUGAAACACAAUCCCAAAUAUGCUC
rnacentral:lncRNA from 1 species